AUGCUUAAAUAAGCAAACAUGCAAUAAGUCAUUCAACACAGAAUCAUCACCAAGAUUAGAGGUCAUAUCAAAAUGAUUAAACAUUGGUUCUUUUGCAUCAAUAGUUAAUUCAAUGGGUGCACUCAAAAUUGUUGGUAUUUCAGUUGUUUGAUCACAUGGCAAAGUCAAAUUAUCAACGUAGUCCUCUAAAAUAGGUGGUGUGAUCAAAGUAGUGGGUAGCUCAUCAGAUGGUGCAUUCAAAUAGUGGGGGAGUAUGUACUCAGAGGAGUAUAUAUGCAUGUCAUUUUGCAUACAAGGAAAUUAGAUAGUAUGAGUUGGCUGAGGUAACAAGUAUGAGCAGUAUGUGGUUAAGUAGAAAUAAUAAGUUAAUAACCUUUUGCGUCUCCUUUAGGGAUGCCAAGCCCAAAUAAAGUAUAUCCAAAGUCAAUCCUAUGUUAAUCUCAAAUUAAAAUCACACUACAUUGAGCUUUAUGCUGCGUUUGGCACUGCGGUGGAUUAUUAUAAUCCCAUUUGCUCAAACCUGCCUUUGCCUAUUGUAGUGUUCGUUUGACUCGCUUUUGCUUACUUUGCUGCUAAUUUUCCACAACAGAUUAUAGAAUAGGCACAACAAAAUAAGUACGCAUGGGGAGCUUUUGUGGGCGCCUGCUUGCAUCCGUUGUUUUCCUUAGUUCAACUGGUUACUCAUGUAGAAUUCAGUUUUUUAUCUCGACUAACAAAUGGAAGGAUUGUGGCAUUCCCAGGUAUAGGCAGGUGGCAUACCUGAAACUCCAACGACAUGAUGAUGCCGUGUCAACUGUUGCAUAAAUCACCUCCAGAAAAUCUGAAUUUGAUGUAUUGGUUUUGAUGAAAGGGCAGUGGGCCUGAGGUAUUGCCUAGGAAGUCAAUUUAAUUUCCUGUUUCAUCUCUGUAAUUAAAAAAAAAAAUCCUUCCGAGACUUCUGUUUACUGGUAUAAAUAUUGGAUGUGGUAGUUUCCAUAGCAGGCCUAAUCCUGACAAAUACGACUCGUACAGCUAAGAGUUUGAUGCUGUUGCACGACUAUUAUAUUAAAAAUUGUAUGCCUGUUCGAUGCACUGACAUUGAUGUCUCGGUAAACAAACUGAUGCAAGAAGGCACACUGAGUUUUGUUAUCUUAGGAUGAGUUUGUUAUCUUAUGGCGUGUUUGGUUAUUGGCAUCAAAUUUGGCCGUUUUGCAUCAUGUUUUGCAUCAUGUUUUGUUGCAUGCAAUCGAUUGCUUGCAUCAGGGUAGCAACUUCCCCAUCGGUGUUUGGUUGCCUGCCUUUCAUGAUUUUUGGCUGGGCUG
rnacentral:rRNA from 1 species